AUUCGUGUAAAGGCUCAACUCAAGCCUGAAGACACAGAGCCAGCCAUGCUUUCCUCGCCCUCCCCUUGCUCAGCUUCUUUCUCAAGCCCCACGCUUCCCACCUCUCUCUCUCCUGCGCGUCCCCAAGAAACGCUAUCCUUCUCAACGCGCACCACCACCGUUGAGCCACCGCUGCUUCAGUCGAACAACCGUCUCCGCGGCUAAUCCUUUUCAGUUCAACCACAUUCCUCGACAAAUGCCAGCGACGAGCCGCAGAAAGCUUCUGAUCUCACAUUUCAACGAGCCAUUCAAAGACUCCAGGUUCCAGCAAACUCAUCUAAUAGUAGAAUUACUCUGUGGAACGAGCAGUAGUAACUCCAUCUCUGAAGAUUCUCUGCCUCCAACCUGAUUUACCCCCAGCAUGGCCGUCAUGACCAUUUCGCCGGCAUUUCUUCACUCUCGUACUUACACUGCAUCCAACAAACAUGGUGAGCUUCAUGGCUGUAAAUAGGCCAAAGACAAUUGCUAGGGGCCUCACAGCCCAGUGAAUAUCCUCAACGUGUUGAUAUUUCUCCACCACACCAGGACAAGUAUCAAAAGACACUGAUUCCACUUCGGCAGGAUCUGCUAAAAAAUUUGUUAGGUUGGAGCCGGGACUAUGAAUCCUUUGACAUACUUAAGAGUUCUUGGUCCAGAACCAUGGAACAUUGCGUUAUACUAAAGCCCUAUCUCGGAAAUUCACAAGACCUCUUUAUUCGUAGGCUUUCAGCAUUAGGGUUUGCCGAGGACAAUUGGGUGAGCCCAGUAGUAUGGUCUAUGUCAUGGUGGUUUUUAAUACGUACUUGAUGCAUGGGGUUUGGGCUGGGAAAUCUGGAUGGAUGGGAUGGAGAUCACACAAUUCACCUACUUCCAGCAGCUGGAAGUCUUCAGUUGUCACAAUAUCUGUUGAAACCACGUAUGGCCUUGAGCGUAUACUUAUUGCUUCAGGGUGUUGAUCAUUUCAAGAAAAUUCAGUAUGCUGACGGGAUUACAUAUGGGGAGCUUUUCUUGGAAAAUGAGUAUGACCAGCUUCUGAAAACAUCUCAGGCUUUUAAUAUCUUGGCCUCUAGAGGCUUUGUUGGUAACAGAGCGUGCUCGUUAUUUCAGUUGCACGUGCAGCUUAACUCGUCAAUGUGCCCAACUGUGGUUAGAGACACAAGAAUCUCUUGGACAUCCUUUGGGGUUUUGUUCCUAAAUCUGUUGAGCAUGUAUGUCCUAAAGAGGUUCUGGAGGCAGCAGUCAAAAAGGUGCACCAUGAUCCAAGAUUGUUUGUUCUUGAACUUGGGACUGUAGACAUGCCACCUCAUGAUGUAGUUAAUGCAAGACAGAAGCAUGGAUCUUUCUCUUUUUGUUAUGUUGUUUACUCAAUUUAAAUCUUACCGGCCAUUUUAUAUAAGACCUCCCGAAGCUUCAUAGGAAAUGCAUUUGACAUAUUGCUUCACUGAUUUCUUUCUUUGCCUUUCUAAUUUCCUUGUACAAUUCUAAAUUGAUGAUUGUGUCAUUGAAUGUUUGUUUUUGACUGAAGUCUUCUUAUACAACCUUCUGAUUCUGGUCAUUGCAGCUUAAAGAUUUAAUGUCAGAGCUUCUGGACAAACAGAGACUGAACCUUGGUGACAUACAGGCUUUUGGCACUCCUCACAGACUAGUGGUAUAGCUAUGGAUAUCACCCAGAUAUCUGUCGAGAGCCUUUGUCCUAAGCGGAUAAUGAGGUUGAGGUUCAGGGGGCUCCUGUUUUGAAAGCCUUUGACCUACAGGGAAAUGCUACAAAGGCUGCUGAGGGUUUUUGCCGCAGAUUGCUGUCCCACUGGACUACUUGUUCAGAAAGGUUUGACGGCAUGGCAACCAUUCCAAUCAUUUCUGUACAUGAAGUUCAUUCAGAAGCUCUGCAUCUUGCCAUUCCGAGGUACAUGGCCACAUUGUUCAUCCCCUACCAUACGUCCCCCAGAGAUUGCUUUGAGUCCAUGAAAAAACACAACAGGGAAAACAGAGUACGUGUGGGCUCGUGUCAAAGAAUCUGCUUGAGUUGCUUUGGAGGCUUCAUUGGAAGAGUUGCCUGGAAUCCUUGCUAAGAUAUCUUUUGCAAAGUCAAUGCACUGGAAUUCCCAGGUCAUGUUCAGCAGAUCUAGUUGUUGGAUUAUGUGUCUCCAUGGAGAUGCAGUAGUUCCAUUUAUGUAUGCUGGGAUUUUGAGGUAAUUGUUAUUUUGUAUUGCCAUCCAAUCCUCUCUUUUUUACUCACAGCUAAUUGUUACUUUCAACUUACCAUAUUCAUUUUUGUUAUGUCGUGAAAACUUAUAUCUUAUGGUCUUGAUGGUACUUGAGCAACUACUGUUAGGAUCUGUAUGGAAACUUGUUUAUUGUUUCCUCCAGCUUCUUGUGCGUUUCAUAGGAAGUAUUGGAAGAUUAUUUUACUCAUUGUGGUGUCCGUUAAGUAUUAUGAUGAAAUUAAGAAAUCAGUCAGUCA